rnacentral:rRNA from 1 species
CUAGCAUAUCAAUAAGCGGAGGAAAAGAAACCAACAGGGAUUGCCCCAGUAACGGCGAGUGAAGCGGCAACAGCUCAAAUUUGAAAUCUGGCCCCCAGGGUCCGAGUUGUAAUUUGCAGAGGAUGCUUUUGACGAGGUGCCUUCCGAGUUCCCUGGAACGGGACGCCAUAGAGGGUGAGAGCCCCGUCUGGUCGGACACCGAGUCUCUGUAAAGCUCCUUCGAAGAGUCGAGUAGUUUGGGAAUGCUGCUCAAAAUGGGAGGUAUAUGUCUUCUAAAGCUAAAUAUUGGCCAGAGACCGAUAGCGCACAAGUAGAGUGAUCGAAAGAUGAAAAGCACUUUGAAAAGAGGGUUAAAAAGUACGUGAAAUUGUUGAAAGGGAAGCGCCUAUGACCAGACUUGGGCCCGGUGAAUCAUCCAGCGUUCUCGCUGGUGCACUUUGCCGGGCACAGGCCAGCAUCAGUUUGGCGCGGGGGAGAAAGGCUCUGGGAAUGUGGCUCCUCCGGGAGUGUUAUAGCCCACCGCGUAAUACCCUGCGCCGGACUGAGGUACGCGCAUUGCAAGGAUGCUGGCGUAAUGGUCAUCAGCGACCCGUCUUGAAACACGGACCAAGGAGUCGUCUUCGUAUGCGAGUGUUCGGGUGUCAAACCCCUACGCGUAAUGAAAGUGAACGCAGGUGAGAGCUUCGGCGCAUCAUCGACCGAUCCUGAUGUUCUCGGAUGGAUUUGAGUAAGAGCAUACGGGGCCGGACCCGAAAGAAGGUGAACUAUGCCUGUAUAGGGUGAAGCCAGAGGAAACUCUGGUGGAGGCUCGCAGCGGUUCUGACGUGCGAAUCGAUCGUCAAAUAUGGGCAUGGGGGGCGAAAGACUAAUCGAACCUUCUAGUAGCUGGGUUCCCGCCGA